GAAAGAUUCAUCGGAAGAGGAUGGGCAUGCGGCGCAUUAGCUAGACGGCGGGGUAACGGCCCACCGUGGCGACGAUGCGUAGGGGUUCUGAGAGGAAGGUCCCCCACACUGGUACUGAGACACGGACCAGACUCCUACGGGAGGCAGCAGUGAGGAAUAUUGGUCAAUGGGAGAGAUCCUGAACCAGCCAAGCCGCGUGAGGGAAGACGGCCCCAUGGGUUGUAAACCUCUUUUGUCGGAGAACAAAACCCGGGACGAGUCCCGGACUGCGUGUAUCCGAAGAAAAAGCAUCGGCUAACUCCGUGCCAGCAGCCGCGGUAAUACGGAGGAUGCGAGCGUUAUCCGGAUUUAUUGGGUUUAAAGGGUGCGUAGGCGGUCCGUUAAGUCAGCGGUAAAAUUGCGGGGCUCAACCCCGUCGAGCCGUUGAAACUGUCAGACUUGAGUUGGCGAGAAGUACGCGGAAUGCGCGGUGUAGCGGUGAAAUGCAUAGAUAUCGCGCAGAACUCCGAUUGCGAAGGCAGCGUACCGGCGCCAGACUGACGCUGAGGCACGAAAGCGUGGGGAUCGAACAGGAUUAGAUACCCUGGUAGUCCACGCAGUAAACGAUGAAUGCUGGUUGUCCGGGUCGAAUGAGACCUGG
rnacentral:rRNA from 1 species